rnacentral:rRNA from 1 species
GGCAAGUCUGGUGCCAGCAGCCGCGGUAAUUCCAGCUCCAAUAGCGUAUAUUAAAGUUGUUGCAGUUAAAAAGCUCGUAGUUGAAUUUCGGGGUUUAUCCGUUGGUCGGGCUUUUGGGUCUGUACUGGCGUGAUGAAUUCCUACCUUCUGAAUAACCAGCAUGCCAUUAAUUUGGUGCGCUGGGGAAGCAGGACUGUUACCUUGAAAAAAUUAGAGUGCUUAAAGCAGGCUAUUGCCUGAAUACAUUAGCAUGGAAUAAUGAAAUAGGACGCAUGGUUCUAUUUUGUUGGUUUCUAGGAUCACCGUAAUGAUUAAUAGGGAUAGUUGGGGGCAUUAGUAUUCAAUUGUCAGAGGUGAAAUUCUUGGAUUUAUUGAAGACUAACUUCUGCGAAAGCAUUUGCCAAGGAUGUUUUCAUUAAUCAAGAACGAAAGUUAGGGGAUCGAAGACGAUCAGAUACCGUCGUAGUCUUAACCAUAAACUAUGCCGACUAGGGAUCGGACGAUGUUAAUUUUUUAAUGACUCGUUCGGCGCCUUACGGG